GCUGGUUACCUCAGUUGGUAGAGCGCUCUCCUGAUAAUGGAGAGGUCCCGGGUUCGAUACCCGAACCACGCG
rnacentral:tRNA from 1 species